rnacentral:miRNA from 1 species
AAUGCAGUUGUUGGUGUGUAUGGUAAGUGCAUGUUUACUUUUGUAUGAAACUAUCCAACUAUUUUCCAGAGUUGCUGUUACCAUUUUACAUUUCUACCAAUAAC